AUUGAACGCUGGCGGCAUGCCUUACACAUGCAAGUCGAACGGUAACAGGUCUUCGGAUGCUGACGAGUGGCGAACGGGUGAGUAAUACAUCGGAACGUGCCUAGUAGUGGGGGAUAACUACUCGAAAGAGUGGCUAAUACCGCAUGAGAUCUACGGAUGAAAGCAGGGGAUCGCAAGACCUUGUGCUACUAGAGCGGCCGAUGGCAGAUUAGGUAGUUGGUGGGAUAAAAGCUUACCAAGCCGACGAUCUGUAGCUGGUCUGAGAGGGCGAUCAGCCACACUGGGACUGAGACACGGCCCAGACUCCUACGGGAGGCAGCAGUGGGGAAUUUUGGACAAUGGGCGAAAGCCUGAUUCAGCAAUGCCGCGUGCAGGAUGAAGGCCUUCGGGUUGUAAACUGCUUUUGUACGGAACGAAAAGCUCUGGGUUAAUACCCUGGGGUCAUGACGGUACCGUAGGAAUAAGCACCGGCUAACUACGUGCCAGCAGCCGCCGUAACAC
rnacentral:rRNA from 1 species